UACGUAGGGGGCUAGCGUUGUUCGGAAUUACUGGGCGUAAAGCGCGUGUAGGCGGCCCGGAAAGUCGGAUGUGAAAGCCCUGGGCUUAACCCAGGAAGUGCAUUCGAAACUCCCGGGCUUGAGUUCUGGAGAGGAAGGCGGAAUUCUCGGUGUAGAGGUGAAAUUCGUAGAUAUCGAGAGGAACACCGGUGGCGAAGGCGGCCUUCUGGACAGUGACUGACGCUGAGACGCGAAAGCGUGGGGAGCAAACAGG
rnacentral:rRNA from 1 species